AUCAAGAGUAGAAGCGUUCAGCACGGUGCUUCUGACCAUCGCCGGUCAGCAGCUUCGCGGGUCAUUGCUCUUGAA
ncrna:Comamonas testosteroni KF-1 NMT1 RNA